UGCUUCUACACUAAGCUGUGCGUCAUCUUUAAUCUACCAUAUUUUCUCUUCCCAUUACCCUCUCCAUCGGUUCAGUUCAACUCAUCGAAAUCUGUUUUUCUUUUGCUACAGGUUAUGCUAUAUAGGUUUGGGCUGACUAUUUUAAAUGGUUGCCAAUCAGGUUAGGUAGGAAAAUGGAGGAUUGUCUAAGUGAAGAUACAUCCCCUCAGCUAUUAUGCUCUUUCGAGUACUAUAAACGCAGUUCAAAAUCAGUUGAACCAAAUCCAAACGAAUUGGCCAAAACGAAUGGGAAGGGAUAAUAUAUGCAUAGUUCUUGAAUCAUGGCACCUGAGCUAUUUACAGGAGGAGGGGACCCGACCUUCUUCAUGUCUAGCGGUAGUGUCUUCCUUUGAUUCGUUUGUGCAACAUGGAGGGGACAUGCCCUUCUUCACGUCUUGUGCAACAAUCUGGUGGGCGUCGUGCUCUUCAACCACUUAGAGGUGGACUUUGAUGUGAAGCCCGAUGACCACGCCACAUGGAUGAUCGUCCAUGUGAUCGCGACGCCGGAUGUCGCCGAGGUGGAGGACCUCGAUGCCAUCUUUCGGGGUGAGGGAGGAUUCGGGUCAUCCAGCGUCUGAACUCCAAGCCUUGAUAGAUACAUGUAGAGAAGUGGUCUGUUUAGACUGGUAGUGGAACACUAGGAAAGGUACCCACCUUUAGUUGUGUGUGUUUAAUUUAUUUUGCAC